AUUUACCCAGUUCUUCCUGGGGUCACUUAAUGACAUUGUUAAGAUUCUUAAUGUAGCUACUCGGUGAAAGAGCUGCCAAGACUGCAUAAAGGAUGAGUUGUUCUCCUCCUGCCAUGGCCCCAGCUGAUUUACAACCACUUUGUGUUUGAUGCUGGACAGGACAAUUUCAUCAGUCUCCAGCCCUUGUGAUCAUGUCCCAGAAUGACUAGUCAGGUGAAGCCCUAGCUGAAGAUUGCUUGUCACCUGUAGGAAGUAGCUGUCUGCUGGAAAAAAAAAUCUCAAAGAUUGGAGAGAGUAAAACUGAAACAAAAAAUCACACUUUGAAAUCCAUCCCUUUGGCAGCUGUCCCUUCUUCAUUUUGGCAGACAGAGGGUUGCUGGCAAGACUAGUGAGGUCUCACAGGUGCCCCGGAACCACAUCCUUCUUUUGCAGAAAAGAUCACAGUUGCAAGGAGCCACCUUGUGAGGAUUUAUCAGUAAUUAAGUGGUAG
rnacentral:lncRNA from 1 species